rnacentral:lncRNA from 1 species
GUUUUUCUCCCGGUGCAGGAAAACAUGAAGAACGGGGAAAGUAGCUGCCGCAUGCCAAUGUGAAACUCCGAGGAGUCUAGCCAUUCUGAUCUGGCCUUCCAGGUCAUUAGGAGGCUCUGCCAUCGUGUGAGGAGGGAAAGCCUGCUGUCUGGAGAGCACACUGGUCUCCAGCGUGGGGAGAGAGAGCACUUUCGGGCUUUGCUGAGGAGGGUCUUCAGAAAAAAGAUGUGCAGCUCGGACAUGGAGGGCAGAAGGUGCUCAGGAAGGAUCUUCUGCAUGCAGGAGCCUCCUCUCUCGAAGGGUGUUCUCCAAUCAUGAGCUUAUUUGCUGUUUACAUGCCCGAGGAGGACUGACCUUAGCAGCUAUGAUGACCUCAUUUAUCACUGUGGAUAAGCACUUGGCCAGGGUCUCAGCCAGCACCCCAGGCCCAGCCUCCUGGUUUACUCAUUUCUGGGGGUGGUGGCAUCUGCCCACUGUCCUGAACUUUCCUCUGCUUGGGUAGGGACAGGGAGCCCCAGCAGCACUUGUUCCAGGAUGACCCAGCAAAUUGCAAGGUGGCAUUUGGCCUUUUCCUCAGCAAUUGCCAGACUUUGUCCCAGGGUGAGGAGGAAGCC